GUUUCAUUCUGUCUCACUGGAGAGGAGGCAGGGACAGACCCAGCAGCACCCACCUGAGCGAGAAGAGCAGACACCGUGCUCCUGGAAUCACCCAGCAUGUUGCAAGGUCUCCUGACAGUCAGUCUCCUCCUCUCUGUUGCAGUAAGUGCUAUAAAAGAACUCCCUGGGGUGAAGAAGUAUGAAGUGGUUUAUCCUAUAAGACUUCACCCACUGCAUAAAAGAGAGGUCAAAGAGCCAGAGCAACAGGAACAAUUUGAAACAGAAUUAAAGUAUAAAAUGACAGUUAAUGGAAAAAUUGCAGUGCUUUAUUUGAAAAAAAACAAGAACCUCCUUGCACCAGGCUACACAGAAACAUAUUAUAAUUCCACUGGAAAGGAGAUCACCACAAGCCCACAAAUUAUGGAUGAUUGUUAUUAUCAAGGACAUAUCCUUAAUGAAAAGGUUUCUGACGCUAGCAUCAGCACAUGUAGGGGUCUAAGGGGCUACUUCAGUCAGGGGAAUCAAAGAUACUUUAUUGAACCUUUAAGCCCCAUUCAUCAGGAUGGACAGGAGCAUGCACUCUUCAAGUAUGACCCUGAUGAAAAGAAUUAUGACAGCACCUGUGGGAUGGAUGGUGUGUUGUGGGCCCAUGAUUUGCAGCAGAACAUUGCCCUUCCUGCCACCAAACUAGUAAAAUUGAAUGACAGGAAGGUUCAGGAACAUGAGAAAUACAUAGAAUAUUAUUUGGUCCUGGAUAAUGGUGAGUUUAAAAAGUACAAUGAGAAUCAAGAUGAGAUCAGAAAGAGGGUGUUUGAGAUGGCUAAUUAUGUCAACAUGCUUUAUAAAAAGCUCAAUACUCAUGUGGCCUUAGUUGGUAUGGAAAUCUGGACUGACAAGGAUAAGAUAAAGAUAACCCCAAAUGCAAGCUUCACCUUGGAAAAUUUUUCUAAAUGGAGGGGGAGUGUUCUCUCAAGAAGAAAGCGUCAUGAUAUUGCUCAGUUAAUCACAGCAACAGAACUUGCUGGAACGACUGUGGGUCUUGCAUUUAUGUCUACAAUGUGUUCUCCUUAUCAUUCUGUUGGCAUUGUUCAGGACCACAGUGAUGAUCUUCUUAGAGUUGCAGGGACAAUGGCACAUGAAAUGGGCCACAACUUUGGAAUGUUUCAUGACGACUAUUCUUGCAAGUGUCCUUCUACAAUAUGUGUGAUGGACAAAGCACUGAGCUUCUAUAUACCCACAGACUUCAGUUCCUGCAGCCGUCUCAGCUAUGACAAGUUUUUUGAAGAUAAAUUAUCAAAUUGCCUCUUUAAUGCUCCAUUGCCUACAGAUAUCAUAUCCACUCCAAUUUGUGGGAACCAGUUGGUGGAAAUGGGAGAGGACUGUGAUUGUGGGACAUCUGAGGAAUGUACCAAUAUUUGCUGUGAUGCUAAGACAUGUAAAAUCAAAGCAACUUUUCAAUGUGCAUUAGGAGAAUGUUGUGAAAAAUGCCAAUUUAAAAAGGCUGGGAUGGUGUGCAGACCAGCAAAAGAUGAGUGCGACCUGCCUGAAAUGUGUAACGGUAAAUCUGGUAAUUGUCCUGAUGAUAGAUUCCAAGUCAAUGGCUUCCCUUGCCAUCACGGGAAGGGCCACUGCUUGAUGGGGACAUGCCCCACACUGCAGGAGCAGUGCACAGAGCUGUGGGGACCAGGAACUGAGGUUGCAGAUAAGUCAUGUUACAACAGGAAUGAAGGUGGGUCAAAGUACGGGUACUGUCGCAGAGUGGAUGACACACUCAUUCCCUGCAAAGCAAAUGAUACCAUGUGUGGGAAGUUGUUCUGUCAAGGUGGGUCGGAUAAUUUGCCCUGGAAAGGACGGAUAGUGACUUUCCUGACAUGUAAAACAUUUGAUCUUGAAGACACAAGUCAAGAAAUAGGCAUGGUGGCCAAUGGAACUAAGUGUGGCGAUAACAAGGUUUGCAUUAAUGCAGAAUGUGUGGAUAUUGAGAAAGCCUACAAAUCAACCAAUUGCUCAUCUAAGUGCAAAGGACAUGCUGUGUGUGACCAUGAGCUCCAGUGUCAAUGUGAGGAAGGAUGGAGCCCUCCUGACUGCGAUGACUCCUCAGUGGUCUUCCGUAGACUUCUCCAUUGUGGUUGGGGUGCUGUUCCCAAUGGCGGUCAUUUUUGUGGUGGUUGCUAUAGUAAUCCGGCACCAGAGCUCCAGAGAAAAGCAGAAGAAAGAUCAGAGAGUCUCCCUCUGUGGCCCAGGCUGGAGUGCGAUGCUGCGAUCUCGGCUCACUGCAACCUCCACACCUCCCAGUUUCAAGCCACUAUCUACCACUGGCACCAGGCCACACAAACAGAAGAGGAAACCCCAGAUGGUAAAGGCCGUUCAACCCCAAGAGAUGAGUCAGAUGAAGCCCCAUGUGUAUGAUCUGCCAGUAGAAGGCAAUGAGCCCCCAGCCUCUUUUCUAAUUACAAAGCCAGAUUUUCCACCACCGCCAAUUCCUGCACCUAUAUCAUCUUCUUUGCUUCAUAAAGACACAAAAGCACUUCCCUCUACUGUUUUCAAGGAUAAUCCAAUGUCUACAUCUAAGGAUUCAAAUCCAAAAGCAUGAAGCAACAGCUAAGCAAGAACUAAUGGCUAAAUUAUCAAAUUGGAAAACUGGAAAAUCUGGAUGGCAGAGAAAUAUACUUAUAAAACUGGAAAAUCUGGAUGGCAGAGAAAUAUACUUAUAUCUCACCAGUAUUUGCUCUCGACUCAAGAAGGUUAACAUUUUCUGAUUCAUGUUAGACUUUGAAGAGACUAAAGAAAAUUUUCAAGAGGAACAUAUGCCUGAGAACCUUUGCAUGAAUUUAAAAUUUCAAUUAUCCAUUCUUAUAAGAAGGAAGAUGAUUGUAAAGAAAUAUCUCCGAAGUUAAAAUCUGUAAUAGGAAUUGAUUCAUUCUCUAAUGAAAACAAAACAUAAAAACAUCACACUAAUCUUGGAGGAAUAAGAAAAAUUGUACAUCCAUUAAAUGUACAAUUGAUUGCAACAUCUUGAUUGUUUUAACCAUUAACUUGUCAAAUUACAAUCUCAGUUAAGAAAAUGA